UAACAGAGAGUAGCUUGCUACUUUGCUGACGAGCGGCGGACGGGUGAGUAAUGCUUGGGAAUAUGCCUUAUGGUGGGGGACAACAGUUGGAAACGACUGCUAAUACCGCAUGAUGUCUACGGACCAAAGUGGGGGACCUUCGGGCCUCACGCCAUAAGAUUAGCCCAAGUGGGAUUAGCUAGUUGGUGAGGUAAUGGCUCACCAAGGCGACGAUCCCUAUCUGGUUUGAGAGGAUGAUCAGCCACACUGGGUCUGAGACACGGCCCAGACUCCUACGGGAGGCAGCAGUGGGGAAUAUUGCACAAUGGGCGCAAGCCUGAUGCAGCCAUGCCGCGUGUGUGAAGAAGGCCUUCGGGUUGUAAAGCACUUUCAGUAAGGAGGAAAGGUUAAGUGUUAAUAGCACUUAGCUGUGACGUUACUUACAGAAGAAGCACCGGCUAACUCCGUGCCAGCAGCCGCGGUAAUACGGAGGGUACGAGCGUUAAUCGGAAUUACUGGGCGUAUAGCGUACGCAGGCGGUUUGUUA
rnacentral:rRNA from 1 species